GGGCACACGCGCGCCCCGCCCCUCAAGUCCCCGCAUGAUCCGGUGGCUCUGGGGGAGGGGCUGGUGGGAACCCCGCGCUGGGAAGAGAGGUGCCCUCCUGCCUCCUCCAUCCCCAGGCGCGUGUCCAGGGUAAAAGCGGAAGCGCUGUCUGGCUUGUGCCACCUCAUUUAGUAGCCCAUCCACCAUGCCACCCACCCAAGGAGCCUCCCCAAACUCUACACCCCUUAUUUCCGGUGUCCUGGGAUGGCCCUGAAGAGCAGAAGGCAGGUGUGCCUGGCCGUCAUAACGUUCCUAACGAAAAGAACUGCAGCCGCUGUUUGCGCACCAGAGCCGGGGGCGGGCCGCCUGCUGCUGCUGUUUUCCUUGGGUCCAGAAGGGCGGACACAGCCUCUCUCUGACACGCCCUCGUGCAGCAGCGGACAGGCCAUCGUGUCUUGUGAGCCCGGGGGGAGGUCCUGGAGGACCUUUGCUGGAGGGAGUGCUGCGGCCGUUUCCCAAGGCACUCCAAUGCCUCAAAGAUGAAAUGUUGCUUUUCCUCCUUUCUUGUGAGGCGCACUGAGAUGAUGUCUUUGUGUCCCAGAAAGUAAACGAGACCAAGUGAGAGCGGUAGGAGCAGGCCCUCCGGAAUCGCGGAGGGUGGAAUUCCUUCCGAGGAGGGUGAGCCACGCUCUUGUGCGGGCGUCGGGGGGCAGGUGGGUUCACGUCCUUUGUGUUUGGUGAGGACUAACAAGGAAAACAGCCAGACCUCCGGGUGGUGUGGAUCCCCGGAAGGACCCGGUGACUGCGGAGGAGCGGGUGCUGGAACCAGCCUGGGAGCCGCUAGGCCUUGGCGUGGGAAUCGCAGCGUUGAGCCCUGAGCGACCAGGAGGCGCCCUCGCCUCUGAAAACCAGCAGGUGCAGGCAGGACCUGGGGCCGCGCCUGGAUCCAGGUCUCCGCGACGCGACAGCACCUCCUGGUGGCCGCGAGGAGGAAUGAGCGAAGUUCAGCGAGCCAGGGACGCCCCGCGGGAGGAGGCGGGGCUGCCCUCCUUCCCUUGGCCUUUGCGCAGCAGUCAGCGCCAGAGGUUGGUGCAGCAAGAGCUCCUGGGAAAAAGGGAAACCACAGAACCCGCAGCUCCUCUGGCAGUGGGGGUGGAGCACUUACUGCAAACCCCGAAGAUGAAUCCGUGUUUGUAUCUUGAGUCUAAGGAGGAGGUGGUGCUAUUAAAACAAAGAAAAAGAGUUAGCAUCAGCAAGAAACAUCACCUCUAGAGGUUCCCAGAGUUUUCAGUUCAUCCUCUACUGUAAAGAAAUGCAAGAGGAAGCGGGGGCAACCAGGCAAGGGGGUAGUGAAGCCAGCUAUAUACUUCCUCUUUCCCCAGCCCCCCUGUUUUGCUUUUCACAGGAAAAUUCAUUUUGGCCAAUUCGAGCUUGGUUUCCCAAUGUCUUUGACUUUUUGAUAAUGUCGUUUGAUACAUGAAAAACUUUACAUUAGAUGUGAUCUAAUUUAUCUACUUUUUGUUUUUGCCUUGAGCUUUUGGUGUCACAUCUGAGAGCUCAUUGCCAAGUUCAAGGUCAUGAAUAUUUACUCCUCUGCUUUGUUAGAACAAUUUGAGAGCCCUAGCUCUUGUCUUGGGGUGGUCGGUCCAUUUUGAGUUAUGUUUGUGUGUGAUCCGAAGGAAGGGCAAACGUCACCCUGCAUGUGGAAAUCCACCUGCCCCAGCGCCAGGCAGGGGGAGGAGAGUCUUUCCCACCUCACUGAAGGAACGUGGCCACAGCAUCAGUUGACCUUAGAUGUCUAGGUCUAUGUCUGGACUCUCAAUCCUACCACAUUAGUCUGCAUGUCUGUCCUUAUGCCAGUACCACACCUUCAACUUCGUAGCUUCAUAAUAUGUUUUGACAUGGGAAAGUGUGAAUUCUCUGAAUUUGUUCUCCUUUUUCAAAAUUGUUCGGGCUAUUGGGAGCCCCUGGCGACUCUAUAUGAACCCCAGGGCUGUCUUUCCCUUUUCUGGAAGAAAACACUGUUGGAAUUUUGAUAGGGACUGCAUUGGGUCUGUAGGUUGCUUUGGGCAGUAUUGAUUUCUUGACAAUUCAGUCUUCUUAUCUGUGAACACAAGUUAUCUUUCCGUUCACUCGGAUCGUCUUUCAUUUCUCUCCUGAGGGUUUUGUAGUCUUCGGGGCACAAACCUGUCACCUCCUCGGUAUUUUAUUAUCUCAAAUUCUAUUGUAAAUGAAAUUUCUUUCUGAAUUUCCUUUUCAGAUUGUUCACUACACAUAUAUAGAAAAACAGCUGGUUUUUGCAUGUUCAUCGUGCACUUUGCUGAAUUUGGAUAUUAGAUGUAUAGCUUUUUAAUGGAUUCUUUAGGAUUGUCUAAAUAUAGGAUUAUGUCAUCUGUGAAUAAAGAUAAUUUUGGUUCUUCCUUUCCA